rnacentral:tmRNA from 1 species
GGGGGCGCAUUUGGUUUCGACGUGGGUCACGAACCCUGGGGUGCAUGUCGAGGGGGUAGCUUUCCUCGUUAAUCCAGCUGCAAAGACUAUAGUCGCCAACGACGAAGUCUACGCUCUGGCGGCCUAAGGCCGCCUAACCGCAACACCUUGUGUCCAUGCUCGGUGCAGGCGGGUCAGAAUCAUGGAAUCGCGAGCCAACGGGCCUGACGUUGGCAGUUAAAACGACCAGGCUGGUCGUCUGACAUCCCUGCCGGUCGGGGCGUCAGCCGACGAGAUCGAAAGACUCGGCUAAACAUGUAGAUCCUCAGAUGUAGGUCUCGCGGACGGGGGUUCGACUCCCCCCGCCUCCACCA